rnacentral:rRNA from 1 species
GAGCUUGCUCCCUGAUGUUAGCGGCGGACGGGUGAGUAACACGUGGGUAACCUGCCUGUAAGACUGGGAUAACUCCGGGAAACCGGGGCUAAUACCGGAUGCUUGAUUGAACCGCAUGGUUCAAUUAUAAAAGGUGGCUUUUAGCUACCACUUACAGAUGGACCCGCGGCGCAUUAGCUAGUUGGUGAGGUAACGGCUCACCAAGGCAACGAUGCGUAGCCAACCUGAGAGGGUGAUCGGCCACACUGGGACUGAGACACGGCCCAGACUCCUACGGGAGGCAGCAGUAGGGAAUCUUCCGCAAUGGACGAAAGUCUGACGGAGCAACGCCCCGUGAGUGAUGAAGGUUUUCGGAUCGUAAAACUCUGUUGUUAGGGAAGAACAAGUACCGUUCGAAUAGGGCGGUACCUUGACGGUACCUAACCAGAAAGCCACGGCUAACUACGUGCCAGCAGCCGCGGUAAUACGUAGGUGGCAAGCGUUGUCCGGAAUUAUUGGGCGUAAAGCGCGCGCAGGCGGUUUCUUAAGUCUGAUGUGAAAGCCCCCGGCUCAACCGGGGAGGGUCAUUGGAAACUGGGGAACUUGAGUGCAGAAAAGGAGAGUGGAAUUCCACGUGUAGCGGUGAAAUGCGUAAAGAUGUGGAGGAACACCAGUGGCGAAGGCGACUCUCUGGUCUGUAACUGACGCUAAGGCGCGAAAGCGUGGGGAGCGAACAGGAUUAGAUACCCUGGUAGUCCACGCCGUAAACGAUG